AGACACCCCAUCCACAAAACGCUGAAACCUCGACAAUGCCCCCCGCCGAGUUCACCGCCGUGGAGACACACCACUGGCAACGGGUGGACUAGGGCUGAGCGAGCGGGACCGCGCAGAGUGGCACCAGGAGUAGCGGAGGGGUCAUGCCCAGACCAAAGGACAGCGGUUCCAGGAGGGGGAGGAGCAGGAGCAGGAGGAGGAGGUCCCGGCCCAAGUCCCGUUCCAGGAGCCGUUCCGGGAGCCGCCCCAGCAGCCGAAGCGGCAGCAGCAGCAGCAGAGCGAGCAGGUCGUCCAGCCGCGGCGCCGGCAGUGGCGCAGGCAGUGGCGCCUCGUCCCCCGCCGCCAGCCGCCCCGCCACCUCCUCGCCGCGACCCUCCACCUCCUCGCCGCGACCCUCCACCUCCUCCUCCCCCGCCCAUCGGUCCCCCUCCCCCCGCAGCAGCACCCCCGAGGCGGCCGGCAGCCCCGCCAGGGACGCCACCACCGAGCGGGCGUGAGCAUGGCAACCGCGAAAUGUUGA